AGAGUUUGAUCCUGGCUCAGGACGAACGCUGGCGGCGCGCCUAACACAUGCAAGUCGAACGAGCGAGAGAGAGCUUGCUUUCUCGAGCGAGUGGCGAACGGGUGAGUAACGCGUGAGGAACCUGCCUCAAAGAGGGGGACAACAGUUGGAAACGACUGCUAAUACCGCAUAAGCCCACGGUGCCGCAUGGCACAGAGGGAAAAGGAGCAAUCCGCUUUGAGAUGGCCUCGCGUCCGAUUAGCUAGUUGGUGAGGUAACGGCCCACCAAGGCGACGAUCGGUAGCCGGACUGAGAGGUUGAACGGCCACAUUGGGACUGAGACACGGCCCAGACUCCUACGGGAGGCAGCAGUGGGGAAUAUUGCACAAUGGGGGAAACCCUGAUGCAGCGACGCCGCGUGGAGGAAGAAGGUCUUCGGAUUGUAAACUCCUGUUGUUGGGGAAGAUAAUGACGGUACCCAACAAGGAAGUGACGGCUAACUACGUGCCAGCAGCCGCGGUAAAACGUAGGUCACAAGCGUUGUCCGGAAUUACUGGGUGUAAAGGGAGCGCAGGCGGGAAGACAAGUUGGAAGUGAAAUCUAUGGGCUCAACCCAUAAACUGCUUUCAAAACUGUUUUUCUUGAGUAGUGCAGAGGUAGGCGGAAUUCCCGGUGUAGCGGUGGAAUGCGUAGAUAUCGGGAGGAACACCAGUGGCGAAGGCGGCCUACUGGGCACCAACUGACGCUGAGGCUCGAAAGUGUGGGUAGCAAACAGGAUUAGAUACCCUGGUAGUCCACACCGUAAACGAUGAUUACUAGGUGUUGGAGGAUUGACCCCUUCAGUGCCGCAGUUAACACAAUAAGUAAUCCACCUGGGGAGUACGACCGCAAGGUUGAAACUCAAAGGAAUUGACGGGGGCCCGCACAAGCAGUGGAGUAUGUGGUUUAAUUCGACGCAACGCGAAGAACCUUACCAAGUCUUGACAUCCCUUGACGAUGCUGGAAACAGUAUUUCUCUUCGGAGCAAGGAGACAGGUGGUGCAUGGUUGUCGUCAGCUCGUGUCGUGAGAUGUUGGGUUAAGUCCCGCAACGAGCGCAACCCUUAUGGUCAGUUACUACGCAAGAGGACUCUGGCCAGACUGCCGUUGACAAAACGGAGGAAGGUGGGGAUGACGUCAAAUCAUCAUGCCCUUUAUGACUUGGGCUACACACGUACUACAAUGGCGUUAAACAAAGAGAAGCAAGACCGCGAGGUGGAGCAAAACUCAGAAACAACGUCCCAGUUCGGACUGCAGGCUGCAACUCGCCUGCACGAAGUCGGAAUUGCUAGUAAUCGUGGAUCAGCAUGCCACGGUGAAUACGUACCCGGGCCUUGUACACACCGCCCGUCA
rnacentral:rRNA from 1 species